GAUCGAUCGAUCCACACCGGUAACCAAACGUCGCCCUCGGGUGUUGUGCGUAGCCUUGGUGCUGCCACUCACCCGAGCGUCGGCCCCUGGUCUGGGGCUCUCACGAGCCGCUUCCAGGUCCGGCGGGCUCCUCCCUUGGGUUCAUCCCCUGGGGUUGGCGUCGGCCAAAACACCUCUGUAUCCAACCCUCUUUUUUCCCUCCUCCCCUGGGAGGAGGUUGAAAAGAGGCAACACACCCCAAACCACAACCACUUCUGAAGCAUCUUUGGUGGCUCGGCCCCGUGCCGUCCACUGCAAACCAAAGACAACUCUCAACAACGGAUAUCUUGGCUCCCGUAUCGAUGAAGAACGCAGCGAAAUGCGAUACGUAGUGUGAAUUGCAGAAUUCCGUGAACCAUCGAAUCUUUGAACGCAAAUUGCGCCCAAGGCUUCGGCCGAGGGCAUGUCUGCCUCAGCGUCGGUUUACACCCUCGCCCUCCCCCACCCUGUUGUGGUGGGCGGUUGGUGCGGACCUGGCCCUCCCGGCUCCACUCUCUCCUUUGUGAGCGAGCGUCCGGGUUGGCUGAAGUUGAGAGGCUUGAGCAUGGACCCCGUUUGCAGGGCAAUGGCUUGGUAGGUAGGCACCCCCUACACAGCCUGUCGUUGCCCGAGGGGACUUUGCUGGAGGCCCAGCAGGAAUUCGGCUGUCCACCGGACAGUUGGAGUACUCACUCAUUCGACCUGAGCUCAGGCAAGAUUACCCGCUGAACUUAAGCAUAUCAAUAAGCGGAGGAAAAGAAAC
rnacentral:rRNA from 1 species